GCUSGUGCACCGAAMUGCUUCCCUCACUUUCGAUCAAUCGUUGCUCUACGUGCUAACGUUGGGWGCAAGUAAGAUCGGGUUCCUGUGCUUUGUACCUAUUACGAUGGAAAUCGAUUCCUCUCGUUGUCCCUUUCAUCCUCGCAUCCUCUUUGGAUGCUCGGUUGGACUAGGUAGAAGGGCUCGUGUUCCAUAGACAUCCAAUGUGAUCGUUCUGAUGGGGCUCGAGUGCUUUCUUGUCCCUUCGGAUGCGGAACUUGCCUCAUGGGCGUGGGGUCAUCGGCCCUUGUGUUCCCGAAUAUGUUGAAGCGUCUUGUCGCUUCACACUGGAAUGACGCUCUUGCCUUGUCCUUGAUCAUGUGGAGCUCUUGGGCUGCUACCACACAGGAUCAUGCUCGGCAGACGUCGUGAAGGAAUGC
rnacentral:misc_RNA from 1 species